CUCUUCUUCUCGCGUUUUCCCUUUCUCGCGGCAGCUAGGGCUCGCGAUCUUCGCCACCUUCCCCCUUCUCUUUUCUUCUCUCCGGCCGGCGGAACCUCUUCUUCUCUUCACUGCCGCCGGCCGGUCCUCCACAUCCAUUCUCCUCUUCUCCGAUCUGCUCAACUCGGCGACGACAGCAGCUCCGGCGGACUCCUUUGAGCGGACAGCGACGGUGGUCUAGGGUUCUCUUGACGGCGGAGCGUUCUCCUCCGGCAAGGUAAGAUCAGGAUAUGUAUCCAAUAGCCAUGGAUCCAUUUGAGGCUUUGAUGAUGGAGGGAGCUGAACUUGACGAUAAUGAUAACAUUAAGAAGAGGCUUACUUCUAUUUGGUCUAUUCCACUUCCAUGCUGGCUCUUAUUACUGAACCAUAUUCGCCCACCAGAAAUUCAGGGGAGUUUGAUUCAUUUCACCUUAAAUUUGUCAUUGUAGAUAUCAUUCCUUUACUUGGUUGCAUGAAUAAUUCAUUUACUUACAUGAACUUUCAUAGAGUAUGAUUUCGGUUUUUGGAAAUAAAUCCUUUAUUGUAGAUAUCAUUUUUUAUGGUUGAACAUUUCAUUUCCGCAAAGAAGUUUUGGUUUUCGGAAAUAAAAUGAAUCCCUUGGCAUUUCUCGAUAUCAUUUUAGAGAUUUUUGAAAGCUAGUUAAAUUUGAUUGUUAAGUUUUGGAAUUCAUAGUCAUGAUUGGAUUCUUGGAUUACAUGAGUUUGAUACUUAGUGAUGGAAUCUAGAUUGAUAAAUUGAGAUGAUAAUUUGAAUACCUAGUGAGGAUUAAGCAUUAUUUGAGAUGCACUUGUGUUAGUGUCACUCUAGAACUUGCUUUGAUUCUUUCAAACCACAUUUUCAUGGAUUGAGUCAUUCUUAUGAAAGUUAAUCUAAUUCUCUAAUCUUCCAUACAAUUUCUUGCUUAUUUUCUUGUGAAUCAUCAUAUCAUUUUAUCUUUUCUCAUUUCUUAAUCUCUCCGAUGUGGAUACCUUGUUUGUUAUAUGAUGAAUUAUUUGGCCAAGAUGGAUAAAAUUUUGAGUGUGGGGGAGGAGUAUAUCUUUGGAUUAACAUUUCUAAUGAUAAGAUUCAUUUCAGUUUUUGAUGAGUGAUUUCCGAAGUUGAACAUUAUGUUCUUGGUGCUAUUGGAGUUAUUUGAAGAGCAUAAAUGCUAUUUGAUUGAGUUGAGAUUGAAUCAUAACCUUGGGGACUUGAAUGACACAUGUUACAAUUUGGAUGAAAAUUUUGGAAGUGCAAUGAGCCAAGAUUAAUAGUUUCUUAUUUUCAAGGAAAUAGAUUGCUAUUUUAAGGCUGAAUGGUGUUCUAUCAAUUGCAAGAUAAUUCUUCAUUUAACAGAUCUAUAUUCUAUGAAACAACCUAUUGAUUAUUUUACUUGAAAUGAAGAAGGUUUAAGCAAUGGAUUUAAGAAAUCAGCUCAAAUUUUGGAAAUCAGAAUUGUUAUUGUAUGAGUUAUUUGUGUCAAUUGGUGAUACUGUUUUUGAACAGCAAGGUUUAAAAUCCUAACUUUUAAUAUUGCACUGCCAAAUGAAGCCAUACCCUGAGCUGAAUUCUUUAAGAUGCAAGCUAGAAUUGUUUUGAAAUUUAGGAAUUGUAACUAUGGAGUGGAGGCUUAAUCUGUGCACAGCAAAUUUGUUUAGAAUUGAGAAAUUUAGCUUGAUUUUGACUCUCAAAUGUUGAAAUUCAAUCCAGCAAGUUGAAUAUGCUACUGUUGAAAAAGUGAACUUCGAAUCAAAUUUUUGAAUUCCUGAACUUUCUGGCAGCUUAAAUUCUUUACAAUGAGGAAGUGAUGAAUUAAGAGAGAUUUGAACUCGAUUCUUAAACAUUAAGUUGAAGCAAUGAAUGAAGUUCCAGACUUCAAGAGUUCAAAUUCUGAAAUUAAUUUCUGAAACUUGCACAAGGCAAAAAGUUAAUUGUGGUAUCUUGCUUAGACGGUGUUGGGCUAUCUUCACAUUAGCUUGAGGGUUGUACUACUCGAAAUGCAUAUCAAAAUUUGAAGGAUUCAGAAAUGUAGAUGUUUUACUUGAAGUUACUACAGAAUUUGUUAUGUUCAGAAUUUGACAAGACCUAUAAGUUACUGAAAUUGCAGUCAAACAAAUCCAGAUUGGGAAGUUAACUGAGCUAGGAAAGAACUUAUGCUAAGUACAAUCGAAGGAAGUGGAAUUGCAAAUAAGAAUGGAAUCACAAAGUUUCAAUGCAUAGGGUUUCAUUUCUACUUGGUGUUGCAUGAUUGAAAUUAUAAUUUCUCUGGUCCUGAAAUGCAAAAUCUGCCAAAAUUCUUUUGGGUAAGGAAGUUACUCUGAACUUGGCAAAUUUGAGAUGAUGAAAGGCAUUUUAGUUUUGAUCUUGAUGAAUUAAUAUUGUAUAUUUUUUAGUAACAAAUGGAGUUCAUUUAUUUCCAAUGUCUUUUAUAUUUUGGAUGGUAGUGAUUUGUGAUUUUUAGGAAACUCUCAAAUUGAUGGAUAUGAAUUUGUUGGAAGCUGAUGUAUGUUAUCCAAUAGUUGCUGUGCAGAAAUUACAAAAGAGUGCUGAUUGAAUUGGAAGUUGUUUGUAUUUUCUAUUCAUUCGAAAUGAGACAAUGCCCCAGCUAACCUAGACAUAGCUACAAGUUGCAAAUGAAGAAAAGAUUUUGGAAGUUUAAGUGUUGAGGCUGGAAGGGAUACAAAACAGAAAUAACAUAUCUGAAAUAAACCAGAAAUUCUUCACUGUGUAGAAUCAGAACCAACUCUUUAUCAGCUCUGUUCAGAAUCUAUGUAGAAUUGAAGGCAUGCUAGAUUGGAUUGAAUGUUAAAUGGGAUGGUCUAUUGAGAUUAAAGCUUCAAGAGAAUUCAGUUUGAGAGUUAUAUCAAGUGGGUAUCAAUCUUUUAUCACCAGCUUUCAAAAUAGUGAGAAAUUUAGUGAAGAUCCUGCACUCUAUCUAACAAAUGGUUUCUCAUUUCAUUCCAUGCCUUUUUCAAAUUGGAUUUUACAAAAUCUUGAAGAAUCAUGUUGCUUAAAACAGUGAAGUGAGAAACUGAAAAUCAGAAUUCAGUUUUAGAUUGUUAUCAACUGUGUACCAAAAUGUUAUAAGUAGCUUACAAAACAGUGAGGAAAAACAAUGAAGCUAUGGAAUUUUCAGUAACAUAUGGUGUUCUUUUCAUUCCAUGUUUUCCGGAAAUUGGAUUGGACAGAAUUCUAAUUGCUAAAACAGAACUGUGAAACUGAAUACUGAAAACUGUUAAAUUGCAAAUACUAUGUCAACUUUUUAAUUGAUCUUUCUGGUCUGAACCAAAUGAAGACAAGCUAGAUUUGAUUCAAUGUUAAAUGAAACAAUGUAGAGGGAUUAAAGAUCAAAGCUUGAUCUGAAGUACCAAGGAGAUUAGAAAUCAAAACUGAUGUAAAGACACAGAAUUUCAGAAUCUGUUUGGAUGUUUAAGCUGAGAUGGAAUCCAAAUGAUAUCCUUGAAGACAAAUAGAGAAGUAGAAACCAUUCUGAUCAAUAUGUCCAGCAGAGUUUUCAGCAAUGAACUUUGGCCUCCUCAAUUCUCAGCCAUGUGUGAUUCAAGGAAAACAAAUUCUUUCAAGUAUUAAAUUCUGAAACUAAUGAGGUUCAAACUAAAUUUUGAUGUUUAACAGUAACACCAACACCAACUCACUGGAUUCAACAAUUAAAGUUCAGUAGCUAAUGAUUUGUGUGUUAAUUGACUUGUUAGUGAGAUUGGAAUCAAAUGAAAUAUGUCAGGAAGUUCAAUGGAAGCUGGAAAUUUCAGUAAUUAUGAAACUGGAAUUACGUGUAGUUGUUUGUGGAAAUUUUAGUAUCAAGUUUGUACCAAAAUUUAUGGGAAGCCCUCAAAUCAGUUAUGAACUUAUGUAAAAUUCAGUUAAUUUCAGAAAAUUGUUGGGCUAGCUGUUAGCAAGGAAGCAUUCUUGUUAGAAUGAACUCACCAAGUUAAGGAAUUUUUCAAGCUGCAUAGAGAAUGAGAUAACAGGAAUCGAGAACUUGAUUGUGCCAAAUUUUUUAUGCUGAUUUUGAACAGCAGUAAUCUAAAUUCAACCUCCUAUUAAUUCAGUGUUAAAUGAUUGUUCCUCUUAAGCCUUAAUCUGCAAGUCUUAAGCCUAAGGUUCCUUGAAUUACGGAUUUUGAAACUUAAGUCUUAAGUUGAAGAAUUUGAGAACUACCACUAAACAAGACCUGCAUCAACCUGCAAUUUUGUUUCUGAUCAGGAAUUAAUUAAAUGCAAGUUGUAUUUGAUUGAGUAGUUGAAUGAUAUAUUAUGAUGAGAUUAAAACCUGGAAGCUCUAUCUGUAGUCCAAGAAAAUCAGAAAUGGAAACUUAACCACUCAAAUGUAGAAAUUCAGAAAAGGGAAGUGGCUGUUUGAUGAUCAAACCUGUUUGAUUUCUGAAUUAAACAAAGUAAAAUAAUUUUCUAGCUAAUCAAGGAAUGAGCUUUAAUUGCACAAGAGGAAAACAAAUUUGUAUUGAAGAACAAACUUGUUGGGUUUUUAACUGCACAACACAUUUGAAGACAUCUUUUAACUAAUCAAGAAACAAAUGCUAAAGGCAGAUGAAGAAACAAAUUUUAGAAGUUAUAGUUGGGGGUUAGCUUCAAUAAUGCAGUAAAGGCAGCAGUUGGAAAACAGGAAUGUAGUUCCAAAUGUUGUAUUAAGAGUGUACCAACUUUGUAUCACUAGUUUUCAAAUCAGUGGAGGAUUUAGUGGAUGACUUACACUCAGUAUUUAAUGGUGUUGUAUUUCUUUCCAGAUCUUCAAAAAUGGGAUGGAGACAUUGUUAAAUACUAAAUUGCUGAAAUAUUUUCACUAAUAGAAACUGUGUUAAGUUGUUGAAAUGGUUUCUGAUCCUAAAUAGAAUUGAGUCAAGCAUCUAUUUACGGAGAAUUAAAUGAAAAAAACUAUAGAGAUUUAACUGCAAGACUUGGAUCUUUAAGAGGAAUCAGAAGCUAGAAUAAUUGAACAGAAUUGAAGAAGAGCAAUUGGUGAUGCUAUUUUUGAACAAGGUGUAAAAUUCAAAGUUUGGAUAUUGUAGUGCUGAAUGAAAUCAAACCCUUAAUUCUAUCUUUUAUGUAGCAUCUGAAAGUAUUUUGAAAUUUAGGAAUUGAUAAUUAUUGAGUUACUGAAUUCUGUGUACAACAGAAUUGCAGAAAUGAGAGGCUGAAAAGAGCUUAUAGGGAUACUGCAGUGAAAAUUUAUGGCUUGUUGAAUUGGAUGUUGAUGUUUAGUAGUUAUACAUGUGAAAUGCAGAGAUGAAUUUAAGGCUUGUUGCUUAUCUGGAAUUGGACAUUGCUGUUGUGCAGAAAUUGCAGAAUUUAUAGGACUGAAUUUAUGGGUCUGUGAGUGUUUGGCUGGUUCAAGAACAACAAUUUUGAAAUAGAGAAAGUUAAGAAUGGUGUUUAUAUCAGUAACUAGGAGGUGAAGCAUGGUGGAAUCUGAUCAAUUCAUUAUCUGAAAUGUAGGACAGGAAUUUAAGACUGCUGUGCAGAAAUGCAGUAAGUUGAUGUGCAGGAAUGUACUAGAGUAUGUAAUGAACUUUUCGAUUGGAAGGAAUUGAAGGGCAAGCUAAUUGUGAUUGAAUGUUAAGAAGAUAGUCUUUUGGAGGUUAAAACUUUAAUGUUUGGCCAGAAUUUUCAAGUAGAUCAGAAAAGAAGGAAAUGCAGAAAUUUCUGCUAAUGAAACAUUUCUAUGCUAUUUUGGAAAAUGAGUUAUAACAAGCUAGAGUUACUAAAACCUGGAAAUUUUUGGAGGAUGAAUUGACAAGGAUCUUAAAACGCUAAGUGAAAAGGAAUUGGAAUUUUUGGUGGCUAAAUGAUGACUAGUUGGCACAAAGUCAGGAAGCUGUAUAGAGAUUUUGGAAACCUGUAAGUUCUGUGAUACAUGGUGUUUAGAGCUAUUGGAUCACUGAAAAAUUAUAAUUCAGCUGUUGUUCAAGCAUUGUUAAAUGAUGAUUUUGCUUCUCUAUAGUUUACAAGAUUUUUUAAAACUGAGAAUUGGAUGCAAACAUAAACACAAAGCUGGGAACUGAAACUAAAAAUCAAUUCUGCAGUUUGGGUUUUGGACUGUAAUUGCAGCAGGUGGAAGUUAAAAUUUGAGCUGAAUUUUGUGCUUUUGAAAGAAAAGAGGUUAAGUCUUGCGGUCGGUCAAGUGCAAAAUAAGAUGUAAAGAAAAAAAAAAUGAAAGAGAGAAGUGUGCAGUUGCAAGUGGAGCUGAAUCAUGAUUUCAAUGUAAUUCAGUUUUGUGACACAAGUAAUUUGUUGUUUUGUGCCAAGUUUUCUUGCUGUUUAUAAUCUAAAAUGAAUGGAAUUCAAAGCCCUCUUGAUUCAAUAUCAAAUGAAUUAUCUUCCGAAGCUUCACUCGCUGACAAUUUUUGUUGAAAUGUCAUUAUAGCAGAAUCUGGAAACUAAAGGAUAAAUAAACACAGAAACUCUGUGUGAGGCUUUAGAAACUGGAUGUUUUUUCUUCAUCAAGUGUUUUGGUUGAUUCUUGAUGAGUUAAGUGUCCGAGAUGAACAAAAUUUUAAGUGUGGGGGAAGAUAAGUAAAGAUAAGUGAAUGGUGAAACUGUGCAUAUCAAAAAGCUGAAAUUUCAGCAAGUUGUGUUUCGGUUUUGGAAUUAAUUUGGAUAAAAUUUAUAAUCUAAUUCUAGAGCUAUGGAUUAUUUGCAAAGAUUGAAAAGGCUAUUAUGAUGUAAACUCCAUCGUUUUCGAGCUGCAUAAAGAAUGAAAACAGAAAUACAUAAAAAUUCUGCAAAUCUGUUUGAAUCACUAAGCAGUACCAAAAUUGUUUUUAGAGUGAUCUUUGUGAGUUGAAGUAGAAUGGAAAUCAAGCCUUUAUUGAGUAAAUGUUGAAUGAGAGAAUUAUAGUGAUUAAAUGCAAAAGCUUGAUCAGUAAACACUGCUCAGAAAUGAAACUGAUUGCAGAAUCCAGAAAUUCAGUUUAGUGAAUUUCUAAAUCAAAUUGUUCUCUGAUAUUCACAAAAUGAAGACAUCUCUUAGCUAAUCAAUAAACAAGUGUUAGAUAUAAGUGAAGAAAUAAAUUUCAGAGACUAUCAUGGGGCAUUAGCUUUAGAGAUGGAGACAAGGCAGCAAGAGCAGAACACUUAACCUGCUAAAUCUGUUCACUAAGAAAAAUAGUUCCAGUUUAUGUUGAAUUGAAUUUCUAAUUCAUAAUAAUACACGCCUUUAUUUGUUGAAGACUCAAAGAGUUAAUUUAUAGAGCUUAAACUACCAGGCUUGGAUCCAAAGAGAAAUCAGAACUGAAGAUGAUAGAAACUAUGAAGAUUCAGAGGUAGGAUUUGGAUUCAUUUGUGCUAAAUUGAGAAGAAGUAUUUUGAAAGAUAGAAGGAAAUAUAUGUCCAUGAGUUAAUGAUCAUUGGAAGUAGGUGGAAAUGAAUUUAGAAGAACAAAAUCAUAAUUGAAAUGCAAUGUUGCAGAAAACUGUCAUUGUGCAGAAAUUGUGUGCCAAUUCUUAAAGAGAUUCUGAUCGGCAAUGAAGUUAGUGAAGCUAAUCCAAUUAAGUGCUAAAUGAGAUGUUAUACAGAAGUUAAUGUAAAGCUUGAUUAGAAAUCAGUAAGAUCAGAUUUCAGAGUUAGAAUUGAUGAUAAAAAAUUCGGAGUUCCAGCUUCUAUGAGUUUCAAAUCUGACAUGGACUUCUUGACCUUUAUUUCCAGAAAUUCUAGCAGGAUAAAUGGAGGAGCAUUCAAGGGCUUGAUUCUAAAAAUUUUGGGAAGAAACGUCCAGUCAUUAAAGUUUGGAACUUAGAUGAAGCAGUGUAGAGGCUAAAUUCGGUCCACUGAGUAAGAGUUGUAAUAACUUGAUCAAAUUGUUUCUAAUCUGAAAUGAAUUGAUAACAAGUUUCAUCAACUUCUACACAGACCCGACUCUUCAAGAUUCAAACCAAGAUACUUUGUCAUUCUAAAUUCAAAAACAACAAAUGCAAAAUCAGCUCACUUCUUUGAAAUUCUGGAAUUUAUUAUACUGUUAUGAAUUGAAAAGAAGCUGAAUUUAGGAAAUAAUUGUUGAGCAUUGGAGAGUAAGUCAGAAAGAAAGGAAGAUAGUUGAGCAUGAUCAAGAAGUUCAUCUAUAUAGCAUUCUUUUGGUGUCCAUGUCUUCCACUAUACCUUUGAAUUCUAUUUUCCUUAUUUCUUUUCUUACACACAAACUCUUAUUUGAUUGAUUCAUGCUUUCUUUGCCAUCAUUAUAAACUUCAUAAUUAUGUAUUCUAAUACUUUGGAUAGUGGUUAAGAGUAGAAGAUAAACAAGCUUAUGGUAGUGAAUGAAACACAAGUAACUUGAGCACUAUUGCAUUUAUAUGAGAUGAGAGUCACCAUCACUUUCCUUGUGAGGUUAUUCUGUUAUCAUUCUCAAUUUAUUGAUUGUGGAUUUAAGUUAUCAUACUUGUUAAUUAGUGUAUGAAUUGAAUUCAUGAAUGCUUAGGUCAUUUGAAUUGGACAAUCAUAGGUAAUUUUCUUUUCACUAUUUUCUAAGCAUGAUUAAGAAUUGCUAGAGGGAUACAUUUUGUUAUUUUCUUCUUUUGGUUAAUUGCUCGAGACGCCCAAGAAUAAGUGUGGGGGAGUUGAUAAUGGACAUUUUGUGUAUUAUUUUGGCUCUUAUACUUAGCAUUGUAUACCUUCUCGCAUAAUUAAUGUUGUGUUUAUAUCAUGAUUUGUGAAUAGAGAUUCAUUUUUGGACUUCAUUAUAAAUUUUCUACAAAUUGUAGAAUUUAAUCUCAUGUUUUUAUUAUGAUUUUAUAGUGAAUUCAAAGAGUCAUGGAUUAUGAUCGAAUCGGAUCGAAUUUAGCUUGAUUUGAAUGUCAACUAGAGGAGAUCAAGCUGAUAUGAAUCGUUGAUCAAGAUCCAGUGAGAUCCUGCCCCUUUAGUCAGAUCAAGUGAUUAAGCCCUUCAUCCUGAUUUAAAGAGAUCUGGACCGUUCAUAGAGAUCAACACAUCAAAGGUUCAACUAAGAAAUGGAGCUCCAAUUCAAACCCAAUCCAAAAGCCCACUCUUCAAGCCCAAUUUCAAAAACUCAAUUUUCCUUCUCUUAUUGGAUCCGGAUCUCAUCAACCAAAUCCAAAAAUCAUCACCUCUAAAAUCCAAGAUCCAAAACCCGUUAAGAAACCCCUAAUUCUCUCCACGCACGGAACAGUGCCCGAACCUCUUCUUCUCGCGUUUUCCUCUUUCUCACGGCAGCUAUGGCUCGCGAUCUUUGCCACCUUCCCCCUUCUCUUUUCUUCUCUCCGACCGACGGCACCUCUUCUUCACUUCACUGCCGUCGGCUGGUCCUCCAUAUCCAUUCUCCUCUUCUCCGAUCUGCUCAACUCGGCGACGACAGCAGCUCCGGCGGACUCCUUUGAGAGGACAGCGACGGUGGUCUAGGGUUCUCUUGACAGCGGAGCGUUCUCCUCCGACAAGGUAUUCCUUCUUCAUCCCUAUCUCAGCGGAUCUUCCUGUGGACAAUGUUCCGAAAGCAGAGGAAUCCGACUGUGCCUUCUUCUCCAGCGAGCUCCAUCUCUCUAAAUCCAUCACUGUGCCGUUGUGGAGCCUUCACCUGUGGACGGCAUUUCGGAAGCAGUGAUCCUCCAUCUCAAAUGCAGUGACUGUCCAAUUCUGGAAGAAGAAAGCUCGAUCUUAGUUGUGUAUCAAUUUCCAACCGAUCAGGAGCAGUUAAUGGGUUUGUUGUUCACCAGUGAUGGCGUUCCAGAUCUGGGCCCUUUGUGUAAUGGCAAAGGGUAGUUGAAUUGGUAUAUGAUUAUGGAGGAAUGAGUUUGGUUGAUUAACUUAGUUUGUUUCCAUGUUUAGAUUUGUUAGUCUUUGUUCUUAUGCAUUUUGGAUAUUGUAGUUAAUGUUUUGAUUCAUGCUGCGUAGUUGUUAGUUUACCUUCA